rfam:Triticum aestivum genome assembly, contig: Triticum_aestivum_CS42_TGACv1_scaffold_592803_7BS
UUGUUACUUCCUCCGUCCGGAAAUAUUUGUCAUCAAAAUGGAUAAAAAGGGAUGUAUCUAUUAGAUAUACGUUUCUUUUUGUCCAUUUUGAUGACAAGUAUUUUUAGACGGAGGGAGUACAAU